rnacentral:rRNA from 1 species
AGCUCCAGUAGCGUAUAUUAAAGUUGUUGCAGUUAAAAAGCUCGUAGUUGGAUUUCUGGCGUGCUGCGCCUGGCCCGCUGGCGUUAGUCAGUGAGUGCCGGAUGCGCGGCUGCCAUCCUUCUAGUGAACGUGUCUACCCUUCGCUGGGCGGGCUCGCGAACUAGAUCUUUUACUUUGAAAAAAUUAGAGUGUUUAAAGCAGGCAUUGUCGCUGUGAAUACAUUAGCAUGGAAUAAUAAUUUAGGACUUUGGUUCUAUUUUGUUGGUUUCUAGGACUGAAGUAAUGAUUGAUAGGGAUAGUUGGGGGUGCUAGUAUUCAAAGGCCAGAGGUGAAAUUCUGUGAUUCUUUGAAGACUAACUUAUGCGAAAGCAUUCACCAAGGAUGUCUUCU